rnacentral:rRNA from 1 species
UAGGGAAUCUUCCGCAAUGGACGAAAGUCUGACGGAGCAACGCCGCGUGAGAGAAGAAGGAUUUCGGUUCGCAAAACUCCGUAGUUAGGGAAGAAAAAAUGUAUAGUAACUAUAUACUAACGAGUCGGUACCUAACCAGAAAGUCACGGCUAACUACGUGCCAGCAGUCGCGGUAAUACGUUGGUGGUAAGCGUUGUCCGGAAUUAUUGGGCGUAAAGCGCGCGUAGGUGGUUUAGAAAGUCUGAUGUGAAGGCCCACGGCUCAACCGUGGAGGGUCAUUGGAAACUAAUAAACUGGGGUGCAGGGGAGAAAAGUGGAAUUCCUUGUGGUGCGGUGAAAUGCGUAGAGAUUAGGAGGAACGCCGGUGGCGAAAGCGGCUUUUUGGCCUGCAACUGACACUAAGGCGCGAAAGCGUGGGGAGCAAACCGG